ensembl:miRNA Mir7240 microRNA 7240
UUGGAGAGGACCGCCGUCGGACUCCUCCUGCCCUGCCCGCCGUUGGUCCUCUCCAACA